rnacentral:rRNA from 1 species
GUGCCAGCAGCCGCGGUAAUACGUAGGACCCGAGCGUUGUCCGGAUUUACUGGGUGUAAAGGGCGUGUAGGUGGGCGCCUAAGUCGAUGGUGAAAUCCUGCGGCUCAACCGUAGAAUUGCCGUCGAUACUGGGCGUCUUGAGUACGGCAGAGGGAGAUGGAAUUCAUGGUGUAGCGGUGAAAUGUGUAGAUAUCAUGAAGAACACCGGUAGCGAAGGCGGUCUCCUGGUCCGUUACUGACACUGAGGCGCGAAAGCGUGGGGAGCAAACAGGAUUAGAUACCCUGGUAGUCCACGCCUUAAACGAUGGGUACUAGGUGCUGGGCCGCAAGGUUCAGUGCCAAAGCUAACGCAUUAAGUACCCCACCUGGGGAGUACGAUCGCAAGGUUGAA